rnacentral:rRNA from 1 species
AUGAACGCCCAGGUCGCAGGGGAGGCGGGCGACGGAGCACGAGGUGCACGGAGCGGCGUCGGCGAGAGGAUGCAGCAGAGGCCGAGGCGGUGCGGUUCCAGGGGCGGCGAGGAGGAGGUCGAGCACGGCGCUCGCGCGCAGAGGCGACGGAGCUCAGCGGAGGGAGGAGGCAGGGGCACUGGUGGCAAGUCAACGCCGCGGGGCGUCCGGCAGCGGCGACGCUUGGCAUCAGGAAGUGCGAGGAAGGCCGAGACGAUGAGGGUGCAGGAGAGGUCCGGGCGGCGGAGGACGACGGAUGCGGGUGCAGGGGAGGGACACGACCGCAGGCGACGGAGGGCCGCCGGAGUUGGCCAUCCUGGUGGUGUUGCAGAGGCCGGGCGCGGCGCUGAUGGAACGGGGCGCGACGCGAGAUGUGCCAUGGGAGGCGCGCUCGGGAGGAGGGGUCUCGCUCCUCUCUCUUUCUCUGUGGAAGGGGGCACGAGCGAGGGAGAGGGAGAGAUCGAGAGGAGGGAGGCGAGGGGAUCGAGGGGAGCGGCCGCGAGAGGAUCGGGCGCAGGGAGCUCGUGUCCCUGGCUCGAUGCGUGUGAGAGGCGGCGCUAA